AUGAACGCUGGCGGCGUGCUUAACACAUGCAAGUCGAACGAAGCACUUUAUUUGAUUUCCUUCGGGACUGAUUAUUUUGUGACUGAGUGGCGGACGGGUGAGUAACGCGUGGGUAACCUGCCUUGUACAGGGGGAUAACAGUUGGAAACGGCUGCUAAUACCGCAUAAGCGCACGGCAUCGCAUGAUGCAGUGUGAAAAACUCCGGUGGUAUAAGAUGGACCCGCGUUGGAUUAGCUAGUUGGUGAGGUAACGGCCCACCAAGGCGACGAUCCAUAGCCGACCUGAGAGGGUGACCGGCCACAUUGGGACUGAGACACGGCCCAAACUCCUACGGGAGGCAGCAGUGGGGAAUAUUGCACAAUGGGCGAAAGCCUGAUGCAGCGACGCCGCGUGAGCGAAGAAGUAUUUCGGUAUGUAAAGCUCUAUCAGCAGGGAAGAUAAUGACGGUACCUGACUAAGAAGCACCGGCUAAAUACGUGCCAGCAGCCGCGGUAAUACGUAUGGUGCAAGCGUUAUCCGGAUUUACUGGGUGUAAAGGGAGCGCAGGCGGUGCGGCAAGUCUGAUGUGAAAGCCCGGGGCUCAACCCCGGUACUGCAUUGGAAACUGUCGUACUAGAGUGUCGGAGGGGUAAGCGGAAUUCCUAGUGUAGCGGUGAAAUGCGUAGAUAUUAGGAGGAACACCAGUGGCGAAGGCGGCUUACUGGACGAUAACUGACGCUGAGGCUCGAAAGCGUGGGGAGCAAACAGGAUUAGAUACCCUGGUAGUCCACACCGUAAACGAUGGAUACUAGGUGUAGGGUGUGAUAAACGCUCUGUGCCGUCGCAAACGCAGUAAGUAUCCCACCUGGGGAGUACGGCCGCAAGGUUGAAACUCAAAGGAAUUGACGGGGGCCCGCACAAGCAGUGGAGUAUGUGGUUUAAUUCGACGCAACGCGAAGAACCUUACCAGGGCUUGACAUAUACAGGAAUAUGCUAGAGAUAGUAUAGCUCUUCGGAGUCUGUAUACAGGUGGUGCAUGGUUGUCGUCAGCUCGUGUCGUGAGAUGUUGGGUUAAGUCCCGCAACGAGCGCAACCCUUAUCUUUAGUAGCCAGCGGUUCGGCCGGGCACUCUAGAGAGACUGCCAGGGAUAACCUGGAGGAAGGCGGGGAUGACGUCAAAUCAUCAUGCCCCUUAUGACUUGGGCUACACACGUGCUACAAUGGCGUAAACAAAGGGAAGCAAAGCUGUGAAGCCGAGCAAAUCUCAAAAAUAACGUCUCAGUUCGGACUGUAGUCUGCAACCCGACUACACGAAGCUGGAAUCGCUAGUAAUCGCAGAUCAGAAUGCUGCGGUGAAUACGUUCCCGGGUCUUGUACACACCGCCCGUCACACCAUGGGAGUUGGGAAUGCCCGAAGCCAGUGACCUAACCGAAAGGAAGGAGCUGUCGAAGGCAGGCUCGAUAACUGGGGUG
rnacentral:rRNA from 1 species